GUUAUUCUAUUAGGUAACAGUUUGCUACAACGUUAUUCUGUUAGGUAACAGUUUGCUACAACGUUAUUCUGUUAGGUAACAUUUCGCUACUGUGAUAUUCUGUUAGGUAACACUGUGCCAGAAGGCUGAAACACUUACCCUGUAUGCAUGUAUUUAACAGCUGAUUUGGGCAAUACAGCUUCAGCUGUACGUUAGCCGGUAUUGGCCAACCAGCUGCUGGACAAUCAGACUACCAUGUGGAGAGUUCCAUGAACAUAGUUACGUAUACAUGUCUAUUAAACUUUGAAAAGAACGUCGUCAUUCUCCAAGUUAUGUUCUGAUUCAAAUAAUAACUUGUUUCUCCUUUAUCCGUUUCUUAUGUUAUGUACUGGACAAAAAGGUUACGGAUCGUAAAAAUUUUGGGGGAUAUUUUUUAAAUUGGGUGCUCAGUAUCCACUACAGAAUAUCCCUAAAAUAAUAUUUUUUGUUCAGUACAUCACAAUUAGGUUUCUAAAAUGUAUCUUUAUCAUACUGACACCGCAUCAGUGUGAAAAACCUCCACAGCUGUCAG